CCUGAUCCCUAAUUACUUUAACCUGCAGUUAAAUGUCAGUCUCUCUAAUUAUCUGGUUACUCCUCUCCUGAGUCCAAUAUAGCCUGCAGGUGUGCAUGGCAAUGUGGUUUGCAGGUCUGACUGACCUAGUGCACCUUUCAUUUAUUAGGCUGGCCUUUUGCAAAGUUGGUCAAACCUCUUGUGUUUUCAAGAUACUAUUAUUAAUUUGAACUCUAUUAGACGAGACUAGAUCUGAAACUUUAGCAGACUUUAGGGAAUUUCACAAAAGAGAGCCUCCUGCUUUGUUAUUCCUGUUGCAGUAACGCUGUAUACCUUUGGGGAGACCAAGUUGCAUCAAGUUCAAGGAACAGGUCUCCAUUUGCACGGUGUCUGUAGCAGAACCAGGACCAGAAUUUUUGAUCUUUGACUGUUGCCUCAGAUGCUCAGCUACUUCGUAUUCCGUGCUUUGUUUGGGUGGAAGGAGACUUCCUGAAACCUGGCACGGGUCUCUAGUGACUGGGAGCUGCUACUCUGAUGGUUAUUUAAUGGUUCAGAAGCAAGGAGCUGGUGGAAAAACUCUGCCAUUUGGUACACAAGAAGGUAUAACUUAUUUCAGGUACAUGGUCCUGUAUGGAGAGAUCAUGAAUGCAGUGGUCACUGAGGUGGCCCAAUCUGUUAAGAAAGAAACAGGCCUUACUCCUUUUUUUUUUUCCUGAGCUUAGCCAAAUGCUGAAUUUAGUAGUAAGAUCACAAAUCUUUCUCAUCCUAUUUCUUCUCUAUUGCCAGUUGCCCUUGAUCUUUUCCUAUGGUAACACAACACCAG
rnacentral:lncRNA from 1 species